CUUCCCCAGCGCCCCACCGCGACCUGGGGAAGCGCUGAGAUUCGGCAGAGCACGACCCCCAGCCUCCUCAUCCCGGGACCGCGUUCCCCAGGCCUCUCCUCUGGCGGUCGGCAUCCCAAGUGGAGGUCCGGGAGCCCCCUGAGCGGGCUGAGGAGAAGGCGGUCAGGUCGCAGAUUUUCGAGGGGGAAAAACAACGUUGAAAGCUCACUUUCCAAGAGAACCUGCCUGUUGGAUAUGUUGCAGAGCCCUUCUCGGGUGCCUCCUCUAUGCUUACGUCCACUUGUAACCUUUGAGACUAAGGCCUCUACUCUUCCUGGUGACAUCAUCCCUGGGCCCAGUGAUGUGGUCUGCCUGUGAGAGACCAGGAAUAAUUCUCUAAAGUUGGAUCAAUGGAAAGUGACCCUCCAGAUGAAGAUGAGAUACCAGAUCUGGAAUGAGACUGGAAUGAGGGAAAAUGGAGAUAGCAGAUGCGACAGAGUCAUACAACUGCGGAGGACUACUACGCCAGCUCCAAAUACUCAUAAACUUUGUUCUUUAUUUACAAACCUGCAUAGCCCUCCAGGUACCUCGGGGUCCUCAGACAGGUCAGAGUAGAAGGACCACAGGUAGGACUAGAACAAUCAGCCCAGAUGUGAUGGUACUAAUUCAGAAACAGGCAAGAACUUUAAGAAAUAUGAAACUAACAGAGCCUUCGGAGACAUUCAGGACAAUAUUAUAUCCCCAAAAUAAUACUAGACUGCUCAUGGAAGCACCCAUACAAGAAAAGUCUGUAAGGAACUUAAAAUGUAAUUUUUUUACUGAAAUGAAUUACAGAAUUCAAAGGCCCAGCUGAGUAACAGGAUGGACCAAGCAUAUAAUCCACAGGAUGUGCUUGAGGAAAUCUGAACACACACGAAGAACACAGGGGCAGGAUGAAGGGUUUCUGCCUCCGUAGUGCUGGGCAGGGUAAUUCUGACCAGAAACACCAAAAGGCGCAGCAUAUUAAAGUCUCCUGGAAAAUGUGCAAGGACUGAACAAGAUCCCAGGGAAAGAUGGGAAUCUACUUUAGCUCAAAAGGUAUUUGCCAUUGGGGAAGAAGGACUGAGAAGAUUGAGCUGGCUUUGACCCAGGAGCCUGCAAGGGGGAGCCACUCAGUGACCAUGGCUUAACCCCAAAGUCCUGGUGAGCCCAGAAUAAUCAGCUUCACAGAGACUGUAUCCUGGCUGUGCGGCCUUGGGGGGCCCAGAGGUUGGAGGACUGGUUUCGGGUGCUGCUGCCCUCCAGAACAUAGCUCCUUUGCUUUGUCAUUUGUGGUCACUUUGCAUGUAGAGAAAUAAUUGGGAGGCUGGAGCAUAAGUAUCUCCUUGGCAAUAUAUCUUAUUUUUGUUUUGUCCUGCGUUUGGUAACUAUACAUGAAGGACUGAUUGAUUACACCUGUUCAAAGUGAAAAUAGAAUGCAGAUGAAUUCAGCUGCUAACGAAACUGCUCCCAGAAUAGUGUGGUGGGAUAUGAGCAGGUUCACUACUGAUUGUCAUGGUGGUUUUAGUCCUAUCACUGUGAAUUAAAUAUUUACUAUGUGCCAACAUUUAAAGGGUGGCAGAUAACUGGUAACCCAGCAGCCAGUUAUCACCUGCACAUCAGAAGCUGAAGAAGAACAUCCCACCUCAGUCUAUCAGAGCCCUGCUGAGCAUGCCUGCCCCAUCGUAAUCACUCCUUUUUUUCGCAAAUAAAAAUUAUAUGUAUUUAAUGUGAACAAUGUAAUGCUUUGAUAUAUGUACACACUGUGAAAUGAUCAUCAUAUCAACCUAAUUAAUAUCUCC